rnacentral:rRNA from 1 species
AGAGUUUGAUCCUGGCUCAGGACGAACGCUGGCGGCGUGCUUAACACAUGCAAGUCGAACGGUGAAGUCCCUUCGGGGGCGGAUCAGUGGCGAACGGGUGAGUAACACGUGGGCAAUCUGCCCCUCACUGUGGGAUAACUCCGGGAAACCGGGGCUAAUACCGCAUAUGAAGCCUGGCGGCAUCGCCGGGUUUGGAAAGUUUUUCGGUGAGGGAUGAGCCCGCGGCCUAUCAGCUUGUUGGUGAGGUAAUGGCUCACCAAGGCGACGACGGGUAGCCGGCCUGAGAGGGCGACCGGCCACACUGGGACUGAGACACGGCCCAGACUCCUACGGGAGGCAGCAGUGGGGAAUAUUGGGCAAUGGGCGAAAGCCUGACCCUGCGACGCCGCGUGCGG